rnacentral:lncRNA from 1 species
UUCCUUUUCCGAAACUGGGUUUUCUCCUAAGUUACAUACAUACAUACAUACAUACAUACAUACAUACAUACAUACAUACAUACAUACACAAACAAACCUUAGACUUGAGUUAGUAGUUCGAGCGGUUGAUGAAUAUGUAUGAGAACCCGGCUGUUUAAGGAGCGUGAAUAAACAUGAGCGGGUGUAUCCUCUCGCUAAGCAUCGCCAGCUCGGAGGGAACAGAGUCCCUGCAACUUCGCUUAUUCCGGAUUGCCGCGGUGCUGAGCCGGCCGCCUGAGCUUGAGCGAGUCUCUGUGCGCCCCGCACUUGGCACACACCCCAAGGGGCACGGAUCAGUGCACGCUGGCUCCCGGAUCUUCGGAUACAGUUUUCUUUCUCCCAAGUUUUGAGCCCAUGUUACAAUAAAGAAAGAGUUGCUGAGCAGAGGCACCCAAUCUAUGUUUCCUGCCAUCAAAGCCACCUGAAAAAGCGGGGGUAAAAGCGUCCAUCUGUGCAUCUCAGGGAGCAGGGGGAAAAGGCCCUGGUGUGUGCCCAUCCUGAAGUCACUGCGCCUUGGUCUUUGGAACCUAUGAGACAAGAGCAAGCCUUGGCAGCUUCCCUCAGCCUCAACGUCUCCGUGUCUCUCGUGAACACACUUUUGGUAACUUACGUGGAUUACAUCGAGUGCCUCAGCUCCUGCUUAGAUCUGAGAGUCAGACUGCGGAAGUCUCAGUGUGGCCUUGGACCAGGUCUGGCAGAACCAACCAGAUAAAACCCGCAGCAGGCCUUUGGGCCUUCAAACUUCUCCUGCCACAAAAGCUCCACCAGCCCAAGUUCUUGGCCUGCAGGGUCAGGCUGUGUGUGUACCCUGCAGGCAAGCAAGCGAUUUGCAGAAGGUCCUCCUCAGCUCCAGUUGGGCUGGUGGGAUGCGCUUCCCUGCGGGGCGUCUACUUUUUCUUCCAUAAUUCAAUCUACUAGGCAAAAGAACAUGCUAAUGAACCCAGCAGAAAGCCUUGAGUGGUUUAAGAUGAACAACUUGAGAAGGAGGCCUGUGUCUUGCUGGCCUUGGAAUCCUUCCUGGCUGUACUGAAGAACCAGCAAGGGCCCCAGCUCCUACAUUUACUCUCCAGUGUCCCCUCUGGUGGGCAUUCGUCAUCCCUUCCACCACACAGCUACCCACCAUCUAACCUUUGGCUGUUUUUCUCCUGUAACCCCGAAGAAGAGACAAUUCCUACUUAGAGAAGGGCAGCCUCUCCAACCCUGGAGAACCUCCCAGACGGUUUCCAGAAAUCCUCUUUCUGCAGGUCACGCCUUUGUGUGAUCCUUCUAUCCUGUGUUAGAGACAGCAGUGCCUGCUGAGCCUGCCAGAUCAGGUUAUAAAAAUAGUGACCCUCCCCUACCUCCAGACUCCCUCCCUCCACCCCACCCCCAGCACUUCCUCCAAGCUGCCAUUUUGUGAAUGGUUCUGUGGAGAAACUUGGAAGACAAGGAGCUGGCAAAGGCAGCUAAGGGACUGAACCGGAAGUCCUCCUCUCCCUACCCCGAGACAACAGCAUCUGCCCGCCCGAGGUUUUGCUUAGGAAGGAUUCUGGGCCACAGGCGCUCAACGAGGUAAGCCUGGAGAUAGUCAAUGGUUGUUUUAAGAUGAGUUUUUAAAUCUCUUAUUAUUUUACAGGGCUAUGCAAGACCAUCUUAACACACAUGUGGAAUGCACUCUGAGUAUAAUUCCCCCAAACUCAGCCGCCCUCAGGUUAACCCCCAACUGUCACCCUAUGAUACUUACAUGUCACACCAAAGCAUAUGUGACUUUUUGUGUCUAUAAAGUCUAGGAAACACAUGAGAGAACCUAUGUUUGCCUUCCUUUGAUUGGUUUAAUUUCUUGAUAUGAUUAUCGCCAAUUGUAUCUAUUUUCCUGCGACAGAUAUAAAUUUCAUUACUUAUGGUUGAUGAAAGAGACAGUGUAUAUAAAUCCCAUCUUCUUCAUGUGUUCCGCUGUGGACAGACACCUAGAUUGAUCCCAGAACUUAAUAUUGUGAAUAAUACUGCAGUAAAUUGCUGAGGGCAAGUCUCUCUGUGAAAUGUUGACUUGGACUUUUUAUUGAGACUCUAUCUCGCCCCCAAUCAGGUUGGCAGUCAUCAACAAAACAAAUGUCUAGGUGAUGAGGAUGAGGACAAAAGGGAAUGCUUAUACAUCGUUGGUGAGGAUGUAAAUAAGUCAGCCUACUGUGGAGGUCUCUCAAACAUUUAAAACUUGGAUCUGCAGAGAGGGCUCAGUGGUUGAGAGUGCUUGCUGCCUUUCACUGUUUGUUGCUCUGUGCAGAAGAGUGGAUUUCAGCGUCUCUAGCACCCACACUGGUUGUUGGCUCGCAACCUGAUGUUAACUGCAGCUCCAAAUCUGAUGCUCUCUCCUGGCAUCCAUAGGCAUCCGUUCUCGUGUAUGUACACGCACACGCACAAAUAAAAAACAAUCCCUGAAAACUGACCUGUCCCAGACUUGCUGUGCUGCCUCUCCUGGCUAUUUCCCCGGAGCCUUUGAGCUUUGCCAUGAGCUGUUACCCAGGAA